rnacentral:lncRNA from 1 species
CAGCAGAGGAGGUUGCUUCAAAGCUAACAGAGGCCAUGGCGUCGGUCACAUCCUGGCUCGAAAAAUCCUGCCUUCAACUUAAUAUAUCCAAAACUGUUUGUAUGUUCUUUUCAAAAAACACCAAAAAUACCAUAAACAUUAUACCAGAUAUUUCAAUAGCAGGACAAAAAAUACAAGCAGUCUCAGAAUUCAAAUACCUAGGAUUAUACAUUGAUUCAAACCUCAGCUUCAAAACACACAUCCAAAACACUGGCAAUAAGAUUAAAUUCUGUUUAUCAAAUUUUAGGUUCAUUAGAGACUGUUUGUCAAAUCAAGCUGCUAAAAUAUACUUUUUUUCCAUGAUCCUCUCACAUAUCACAUAUUGUAUCAUAAGUUGGUCAAACACACAUGCCACAUCAAUUAUUCCCAUGAAAUCAUUUUAUAAACAAGCGCUUAAAACAUUGGAUAAAAAACCCUACAGAUAUCACCAUUGUCAGAUCUUACAGAAAUAUAAGUUGCUAAGUUGGGACAAUCUUAUAAAAUUCAAAAACAUCUGUUUAAUGUAUAGAAUUAAAACUGGCUCUGCUCCCCCUUCACUGAGCGAGUUUGUAAACUUCAGAUCGAGUGCAGGCAGAGUAACUCGAGGGGCAGUGAGGGAAGACUGCAUCCUCCCCCUCAGAAAAACUGCAUUUGGUCAGGCCGUGUUUUCUUAUAAAGCCUCCCAACAGUGGAACACAGUGCCUGAAUCAAUUCGCGAGUCUUCCUCAUUUAAUUCAUUUAAAAAGAAUGCCAAAAAGUGGCUCGUGGAGACACAGACUUGUGAGCACUAGUUAUAUUGGAAAAUGUAUACUUGGCUCAUUUUAUGUACUAUGUAUGUAUGUAUGUAACUAUAUUGUAUUUUGUAAAUUGCUGUGUGAUUUUAAUUCUGUUUUUUUAGGCUGGCUUUGACAUCUGCCAAAGGGUCUACCGAUGAAAAUUAGCUUCUUCUGCUAACUCGGGCAUAUUUACAUUGUAAAAUGUUGAUUAAUGUGCACUG